UACGUAGGGUGCGAGCGUUAAUCGGAAUUACUGGGCGUAAAGCGUGCGCAGGCGGUCUGUUAAGACCGAUGUGAAAUCCCCGGGCUUAACCUGGGAACUGCAUUGGUGGCUGGCAGGCUUUGAGUGUGGCAGAGGGAGGUAGAAUUCCACGUGUAGCAGUGAAAUGCGUAGAGAUGUGGAGGAAUACCGAUGGCGAAGGCAGCCUCCUGGGCCAACACUGACGCUCAUGCACGAAAGCGUGGGGAGCAAACAGG
rnacentral:rRNA from 1 species